CGGCUCCAGAAAUUUUUAGUAGGGUGUUCAGAAAAUUAUCUUAACUCUACUAGCUAAUCUAUAAUCAACAAUAUAUGUACAAAUUCCAUACAUUAGUAUGAAUAGUGCGGUCAAAAAUACAUAACCUCUAUUCUUAGAAAAUUAUCUACUAGACUACUACACAAAAUGAAAACUUAUAUAUACAUAUAUUUCUUGUAUUGCAUAUUGGAUAGUGUUUUGAGAAUGGAGGGAGUAAGAUUUUAAUUCUGUUCUAGACGAGUUAUAAUAUUUGUGCAAACAUUAAACCGACAUCUUAAUCCAUUAAUACCCCUUUGAAAGAAAUUGUGGAUAAUAGUUGGGGCCAACCUCUUUAAAAGUGUGCUAUUUUUAGGAUGAUAUGAUCUGAUUUUCUAUCAUAGUCCUGAAUUUGAAAGAAUAUUGUUCAACUUAAUUUUAUAAGCUAACCAAAUAGGAAAAAAAGUAGUAAAUGUCAUGAAUAAGAAAUUAACACAUUUAGAUUAUCCGCAAUAUAUAGACAUGGAGAGAGAACGUAGAUCGAGUAUGAUAGUUACACCAAUGUAUUCUUCCUUUUCUCUUUCUUUUUUUCAAAUUUUUUUUUACUAUGAUUGUGAGCUUUAUUUGUUGUAAUAUUGCGUUAGGUGUUCAAAUACGAAUUGCUUGGAUUAUUGGGUUGUGGCUCAGUGGUCAAUUAUUUUUGGUUUGGGUGUUCAAUUAUUUUGGGCCUGGGUGUUAAGACUAUUAGAAUUGAAUGUUCAAAAAAUAACUAAACCAAAGUUACAACAUGUAUUCUAACAAAAAAAAUUUCUAAGGGUGUUCAAGUGACUAGGCAUCCAUGGUUGUAGAGCCGCCUCUGUUGGCAAGAGUAAAAAUGAUUGUUUCCAUUGUCUUGAACUUAACUUAAAUCUAGAAAUUUUGUAUUUAUUUGAAUUUUUUUUCGUAUUUAUUAGUUUUGCGCUAAUCUUUUAUGUGUUAUUGAUUCGUCUCGACGAGGGGAAUCGAAAAAGUAAGAUUUUUCUAACUUUUACUCAAGUAUUUUGAGAAAUAACCACUUUUUAGCAAAACAAUGACAUUUUAGCGCUAAAAAGUGAUUAUUUUUCAAAAUACUUGGGUAAAAGUUAAAAAAAAAUUUCUUUUCCAAUUUCUCUCGUCGAGACGAAUCAAUAAACCAUAUAAAUUUGGCACAAAAUUAACAAAUGCAAAAAUAUAUUUAAAUAAAUACUCCAUCCGUCCCUUUUGAAGUGUCCCACUUUGUAAUUCCAACUUAUUAAGAAAAUAUCAUCAUUAUACAUUUCACAUCAACUUUUACCUCCACUUUCCCUACUUACCCUCUAUGGAAACAUCAUUAUUACACUUUUACUCAUUAACUUAUCAAAAUGGAAUCUACUUUUAGGGGCAAAAUGAAAAAUGUACCAACUUUUACUCACUAACUUUACAAAAUGAACACUUAUUAAGAGACA